AGGGUUCGAUUCUGGCUCAGGACGAACGCUGGCGGCAUGCCUAACACAUGCAAGUCGAACGGAGUUCGAGGGGCUUGCUCCUGAACUUAGUGGCGGACGGGUGAGUAACGCGUGAGUAACCUGCCUUUCAGUGGGGAAUAAUAUUCUGAAAAGAGUACUAAUACCGCAUAACGUAUAGAAGCCGCAUGACUUUUAUACCAAAGAUUUAUCGCUGAGAGAUGGACUCGCGUCCGAUUAGCCAGUUGGUGAGGUAACGGCUCACCAAAGCAACGAUCGGUAGCCGGACCGAGAGGUUGAACGGCCACAUUGGGACUGAGACACGGCCCAGACUCCUACGGGAGGCAGCAGUGGGGGAUAUUGUGCAAUGGGGGAAACCCUGACAACCAGCAAUGCCGCGUGAAGGAUGAAGGUCUUCGGAUUGUAAACUUCUUUUGUCAAGGACGAUAAUGACGGUACUUGACGAAUAAGCUCCGGCUAACUACGUGCCAGCAGCCGC
rnacentral:rRNA from 1 species